CGUUCCCGGGCCUUGUACACACCGCCCGUCACACCAUGGGAGUGGAUUGCACCAGAAGUGGAUAGUCUAACCUUCGGGAGGACGUUCACCACGGUGUGGUUCAUGACUGGGGUGAAGUCGUAACAAGGUAGCCGUAGGGGAACCUGCGGCUGGAUCACCUCCUUAACGA
rnacentral:rRNA from 1 species